rnacentral:lncRNA from 1 species
CUGAAAGACUCAUGGAAAGGUGAUUUACAAUAGCAGGGUGCUAGUCUUAGCUCUGCCAGGGAGACCCAGCUAAACCUUGGAAAAGCCAUUUCACUGUCUAGGGCCUUAGUUUCUUCAUCUGCCCACAGAGUCUCCAGGGGUGCAGAGGUGCCGUUGGGCUUUGAUUAACAGCACAGUUCUGUUUACGGAAUAGACCUGAAAUCAACAUUUCUGGAUUGAUUUUCUGACCAGCGUAGCUCCCUGUGACUGACACAUUCCUCAGAGUAUGCUGUGAUCUGAGGGAGAUACAUUCAGAAGAAGGACUCCUAGGCAGGGGUAUAGGAAUGACCCGAAUGUUAAAAUUUAGAUCGUCUCUCCGCAUCCCUUCCAAGAGCUGGCAAUGAGCCUACAGUGUAAUUCAGGUAUAUACUUUCAAUUUUAAGACUUCGGUCAGCCCUUAAUGAUAAUUCUUCAAUAAAUGUUGUGGUUUAUAUUGGAAUUACAGAAAGCUCCUUGAUAAGCCUUUUGCUACAGGCCUAAGUUCACGUGUAGGUGCCAAAUUUAGAAAAGACGAUACAGGAUGCAUGUUGCAUAGGACAUUCUUUUAGCAAAAAAAAAAUUGUUGUUUAUCUGAAAUUCUGAUUUAACUGAAAACUUUGUAUUUUAGCGUUGGCUCUAAGAAUGUCCUGUUUUCAUUUCUGAUUGUUUUGAUGAUAGCAGAACCCAUUGCAACCUUCCAUGAUGUGUGAACUGUCAGAGAAAGUGCCUCCUCCUUCCUUAUCCAAUGGAAGAUUAUGCCUGAUUAGGGAGGUAAAAGAAGGCUGUGUAUGGAAGGUGAGUGUGAUGGACUGAACUGUGUUUUCCUAGAUUGAUAUAUCGAAGGCCUAACCCCUAGUGUGACUGUAUUUGGAGACUGGACUUUGUGGAGGCAAUUAAGGUUAAACAAAUCAUAAGAGUGGGACAUAGUCCACUAGGAUUGGUAGCCUUAUAAGAAGAGGAAGAGUUGGCCAGGCACGGUGGCUCAUGCUUGUAAUCCCAGCACUUUGGGAGGCCAAGAUGGGUGGAUCACAAGGUCAGGAGAUUGAGACCAUCCUGGCCAAAUAAUGAAACUCCAUCUCUACCAAAAAUACAAAAAUUAGCCGGGUGCGGUGGCACGUGCCUGUAAUCUCAGCUACUCAGGAGGCUGCGUCGGAAGAAUCCCUUGAACCAGGGAGUCAGAGGUUGCAAUGAGCUGAGAUCGUGCCACAGCAUUCCAGCCUGGUGACAAAGUGAGCCUCUGUCUACAAAAAAAAAAAAAAAAAAAAACUGAGAGGAAGAGUCAUCUCUUUCUCCCUCUCUCCAUGCAUUUGCACUGAGGAAAGGCAAGCCAGGAAGAGGGCCUUUACCAGAACCCAACCCCGCCGGCAUCCUGAUCUGGGACCUUCAGCCUCCAGAAUUAUGGGAAAAUACAUUUCUGUUGUUUAAGCCACUCA